rnacentral:lncRNA from 10 species
UUUUUUUAAAUUGCUGCUUGGUGUACUACUUGUUUGUUUAAUGAUGUCUCUGAAGUAAUUUUGUAAAGUCUGCAUUUUCUGUCAUUUCUGACUACUGAAGUCUCUGUUCUAUUAGCUUAGUAGUCAGCUAGUGAUUGAGCAGAGGUUUUCUUAAAUGUCUGGAACAGGCCAGGUGGAGUGGUUUAUGCCUGUAAUCUCAACACUUUGGAGGCCACGGUGGGAAGAUUGCUUGGGUCCGGGAGUUCAAGACCAGCCUGGGCAACAUAGUGAGACCCUGUCUCUACAAAACAAACAAACAAACAAACAAGCAAAACCCAAAAUAGCCAGGAAUGGGGGCACACGCCUGUAGUCCCAGCUAUGCAGGAGGCUGAGGUGACGGAAUCACUUGAGCCUGGAAGUUGAGGCUGCAGUGAGCUAUGAUUGCUCCACUGCAGUCAAGCCUGAGCAAAAGAGUGAGCCUUAUCUCAAAAGAGAGAGAGAGAGAAAUGUCUGAAACAAACAAAUGAAUAAACAAAAUAAAUCUUCUGGUCUUUGAAAAUGAGCUUUGUG